UUGGUCUUGGUCUUGUCCCGGUUUGUUUACAUUCAUUGCCUUCACGUACGGGGGAGUGAGAAAAACAGCCGCUAUUUCGCUAUUUCUACCCUUUAUUUUAGUUACUAGUGACGGAUUGAAGUAUAUUUAAACGCCUAACACAUUAAGCUAACGAGGGCCAGGUAGCCAGCCAGCCAGGUGGUCGCAAUGCCUCCUCAGUGGGGUACAGGAGAGGAGGACUGCCCGCGCCUCACCACCUUCCUCCGGACCCACGCCAAUGUCAGCCGUCGUCAGGAGGAGGAUGGGUACGACUUGGCCCACAUCCUCGCCACAAAGAGAGAGCUGCGCAGGAGGAAGGCAUUGAAGAGUGGGGUCACCUGGGGCCGCAUCAAGGGUCAGGUGGAAAGGAUGGGACGCUCGUUAAGCAUCAACCUGGAGUGUUACCUGCGGGAGGUGUGGGAGGUGGCGCGGCAGGUGGCGCCAGAGCUGGACACGAGAGAGGAAGCUGCAGCCCUCCUCUUCACCUCCUCCCACCCCCCCGGAGAGGCCGUGCCCACGCUACGCUCACGGGCAAAGCUCAGACGCACACUCGGAGACGUACAUGUGCACCUCCUGGACCGCGCUCAUAAGGCCGUGCGUCAAAUCGUGGACCUCUUGGGGCAGGAGGAGGUCACCGAGGCCAUCAAGGGGCUGGAGGAGUCCCCACAGGAGGCCACACCAAUGUUUGGGGAGAAUAUCAAGAUCGGACUUCAGGGAAAACCACCCGACCUCAUACCCCCUGAGAAGCUGCUGGACCUCUGCAAGCCUAAGGUGGUUUCCCGAGCGACCUUAAACUUCGAGGAUUACCAGACGCCCUCCACCGAGCCUGUCUGCGCUAGGAAGGUGCCGCGUCGGGAGAUGUACGACAGGUCCUGGGUUGAGGCGCAGAUGCUGGGCUACUACAGUGACACCUCCAUCGUGGCCGAGCUCAGCAGCGGCACACACACCCUCCUCAUGAGCUCCAAGGGGGAUGACGAGCUGCAGAACGAGCUGUUUGACCUGCUGGGCUUCGAGAGGUUUGAGCUGAUCCAGACUCUCCUGCAGCACCGCCAGCAGAUCAAGAACGCACCACCAGACAAGGAGAAGAAGAUUGCACAGCUGUUGAGUGGGAUAGAGGGCAUGGACCCGCAGGUGGGGGUGGUGGGGGGGCCGCAGCAGAAGGCCGUGGUGGGGCAGCAGGUGACGGUGAUGAAUGAGACGGAGAAACAGCUGCUUAAACAGGCGCGUCGGGAGGAGAGGCGGCUCAUGCGAACGGCCAAACAGCUGGAGAAGGAUGAAACAGCGGAUGACUUUGACCCUGAAACUUUGAGGGCCAAGAGAGAGUCGGCGCUGCUCCAGGCCUCCCAAGCGUUCCUGUUCAAAAAGCGCGAGAGGGCAGCGGCUCCGGAGGUCAAGUUCCCUUACGUGUUCGACAUGCACGGGAAGGCCAAGGAGUCAGCUGGCUUCAUCGCAGGGCUCAAGAUGGCGCUUCCCGAGGGGUUCGAGCGCUCCUCCGACAGCACCAUGGAGGAGGUUCGCAUCCCCACCUCCGAUCCCGCGCCCCCCGAGGUGGGAGGUGACUUUGUGCCGAUUUCCGAGAUGGACGAGAUCGGGAGGACCGUCUUCCGCCACUGCAAGACCCUGAACCGCAUCCAGACUGUCGUGCACCCAGUCGCCUACCACACCAACCACAACCUGCUUAUCUGCGCUCCCACCGGUGCCGGAAAGACCAACAUCGCCCUGCUGACCGUGGUGCAUCAGAUUAGGAAGCACGUCGAGCAGGGGGUGAUACAGAUGGACAAGUUCAAGAUCGUCUACAUCGCUCCCAUGAAAGCGCUGGCGGCGGAGAUGGCUCGGAACUUCUCGAAACGCCUGGAGCCACUGGGCCUGAAGGUGCGGGAGCUGACCGGGGACAUGCACCUCACCAAGCCGGAGAUCAUGGCCACGCACAUGAUCAUCACCACGCCGGAGAAGUGGGAUGUCACCACCCGGAAGCCUGGUGACACCCAGCUGGCCCAGUUGGUGAAGCUCCUGAUCAUCGACGAGGUCCACCUCCUGCAUGGCGACCGUGGCCCCGUGCUGGAGACCCUGGUGGCGCGGACCCUGAGGAUGGUUGAGUCUCAGCAGUCCAUGAUCAGGAUAGUCGGACUGUCCGCCACGCUGCCCAACUACAUCGACGUGGCCACCUUCCUGCGCGUCAACCCCUACGAGGGACUCUUCUAUUUUGACGGACGUUUCCGCCCUGUGCCUCUGGGCCUGACCUUCGUGGGGGUCAAGGCCAUGGGAAGGUUCAAGCAGCUGGAGGAGAUGGACCGGAUCACCUUCGACAAAUGCCUCCACUUCCUCCAGCAGGGCCACCAGGUGAUGGUGUUCGUCCACGCGCGGAACGGCACUCUGCGCACGGCCGAGAACCUGAUCAAGCUUGCCCAGGAGCACGGCAAGACCCAGGACUUCAUGCCGGAGCCGGGCCCAGACGUGGCGAGGGCGAGGAAGGACUUCGCCCGCUCCCGCAACAAGAGGCUGGGGGAGCUCUUUGACUCAGGGUUCGGGGUGCAUCACGCGGGGCUCCUGCGCUCAGAUAGGAACUUGGUUGAGAAUUACUUCAGCCAGGGGUACAUCCGCGUGUUGGUGUGCACCGCCACGCUGGCCUGGGGCGUCAACCUGCCCGCCCACGCCGUCAUCAUCAAGGGCACUGAGAUCUACGACUCCAAGCACGGGACGAUGGUAGACUUGGGUAUCCUGGAUGUGUUGCAAAUCUUCGGACGAGCGGGUCGGCCCCAGUUCGACAAGACCGGCCACGGAACGAUCAUCACAGCACACGACAAGCUGGCCCACUACCUCUCCCUCCUGACCAACCAGUACCCCAUAGAGAGCUCCUUCAUCAACCACCUAGCGGAUAAUCUCAAUGCGGAGGUCGCGCUCGGAACGGUGACCAAUAUCGAGGAGGCGGUUGAGUGGAUGAGCUACACCUACCUGUUUGUACGCAUGCGGAAAAACCCACAGGUCUACGGGCUCCAAAUCAAGGACGCCCAGCAUGACCCGACCCUGGAGGUGUACCGGAAGAUGCUGCUCACCAAGGCAUCGCGGGAGCUGGACAAGGCGAGGAUGGUGCGCUUUGACGAGGCGACCGGGUACCUGCACAUCACAGACAUGGGCCGCGUCGCCUCCCAGUUCUACAUCAAGUACGACACGAUAGAGGUGUUCAAUGAGUACCUGAAGGCGGUCAUGAACGAGGCGGAUAUCCUGGCUGUCGUGUCCCAGAGCUCGGAGUUUACGCAGCUGAAGGUGCGCGAUGAGGAGAUGAAUGAGCUUGACGACCUCCACAACCAGUGCGAGGUGGCAGCAGCGGGCGGGGCGGAGAACGUCCACGGCAAGGUCAACAUUCUCCUGCAAAGUCACAUCUCCAGGAUCAGGGUGGAGGGGUUCUCACUGGUCUCCGACGCUAACUAUGUGACGGAGAACUCGGUCCGUAUCACCCGGGCGCUCUUCGAGAUCGUCCUUCACCGAGGCUGGCCGCUGAUGGCCGGUCGCCUGCUCACCAUGGCCAAGAUGCUGGAGCUUCAGAUGUGGCACUUUGAGUCUCCACUGCGCCAGUUCCACAGACUCACGCAGGAGGUGGUGGACAAGAUAGAGGAUCGGAGGCUUACCAUUGAGAAGAUCAGGGACAUGGACCACAGGGAGAUAGGCAAGAUGCUGCGUCACGAGAGGAUGGGCCACGAGGUCAAGGCGGCGGCGUGGCAGUUCCCGUUCCUCAACAUGGAGGCGGUGACGCAGCCCAUCACUCGCACGGUGCUCAGAGUUCGCCUCACCAUCACGCCGGAGUUUACGUGGAAUGACAAGGUGCACGGAGGCCAGGAGAACUACUGGAUCUGGGUGGAGGAUCCGGACACCAACCACAUGUACCACCACGAGCAGUUCACCCUCACCAAGAAACAGGUGGUGCGGCAGGUGGACACACAGCUGGUGUUCACGAUCCCCAUCUUCGAGCCCAUGCCCACCCAGUACUACAUCCGCGCCAUCAGCGAUCGAUGGCUCAACUGUGAAUCCACCUGUGUCGUCAACUUCAGGAACCUCAUUCUGCCUGAGCGUCACCCCCCGCACACUGACCUGCUCGACCUGGACCCACUACCCGUGACCGCCCUCAACAACUCCACCCUGGAAAUGCUCUACCCCUUCACGCACUUCAACCCCAUCCAGACCCAGCUCUUCCACGCACUCUACCACACGGAUCACAACGUCCUCCUCGGCGCCCCCACAGGCUCCGGGAAGACGAUCGCCGCGGAGAUUGCCAUGUUUAGGGUCUUCCGAGAGUACCCCGAGUCUAAGGUGGUGUACAUCGCCCCCAUGAAGGCCUUGGUCAGGGAGCGCGUGGAGGAUUGGCGGAUCAGACUGCAGGAGAAGCUCAACAAGAAGGUGGUGGAGCUGACCGGCGAUGUGACACCUGAUAUUAGGGCCAUCCAGGCCGCUCACGUCAUCGUCACCACCCCGGAGAAGUGGGACGGCAUCUCUCGGUCCUGGCAGACUCGCAACUACGUCAAGCAGGUCGCCUUGAUUGUGAUUGACGAGAUCCAUUUGCUGGGUGAGGACCGAGGGCCAGUUCUUGAGGUCAUCGUGUCCAGAACCAACUUCAUCUCGAGCCACACUGGCCAGACCCUCCGCAUCAUCGGCCUCUCCACGGCCCUGGCCAACUCCAAGGACCUGGCCAACUGGCUGGGCAUCGGGCAGGUCGGCCUAUACAACUUCCGGCCCUCGGUGCGCCCGGUGCCCCUGGAGGUCCACAUCUCAGGGUUCCCAGGCAAACACUACUGCCCGAGGAUGGCCACCAUGAACAAGCCAACAUUCCAGGCCAUCAAGCAGUACUCCCCCGACAAGCCAGUGCUGGUGUUCGUGUCCUCGCGCCGACAGACCCGCCUCACCGCGAUGGACCUCAUGGGCUUUGUGGUGGUGGAGGCGAACCCCAAACAGUGGCUCAAGCUGCCUGAGUAUGAGAUGGAGCAGAUCAUAAGCCGCGUAAAGGAUGACAACCUCCGUCUCUGCCUGUCGUUUGGGGUUGGCCUGCACCACGCUGGCCUGGUUGAGAGGGACAGGAGGGUGGUGGAGGAGCUCUUUGUCAACCAGAAAAUACAGGUCCUCAUCACCACCGCCACCCUCGCCUGGGGGGUCAACUUUCCGGCGCACUUGGUGGUCGUGAAGGGAACAGAAUACUAUGACGGGAAGACCAGGAGAUAUGUGGACUUCCCGAUCACAGACGUGCUGCAGAUGAUGGGGCGUGCGGGGCGUCCUCAGUUCGACAACGAGGGCGUGGCCGUCAUCCUCGUCCACGACCAGAAAAAACACUUCUACAAAAAGUUCCUGUACGAGCCCUUCCCUGUGGAGUCCAGCCUUCAGGGAGUGCUGCCAGACCACCUGAACGCAGAGAUCGUGGCGGGCACCAUCACCACCAAGCAGGAGGCCCUCGACUACCUCACCUGGACCUACUUCUUCAGGAGGCUGCUGCAGAACCCCUCCUACUAUGGGCUUGAGCUGGAGGAGGAGGCAAAACCGGAUGAGGCCAUCAACCACUUGCUGUCAUCCACCGUGGACCGCGCGCUGGCCACACUGGCGGAAGCAAACUGUGUGGGCGUUGGCGAGGACGGCCGCAGCAUCGAAGCCACACCCCUAGGCCGCAUCUCCUCCUUCUACUACAUCUCACACAAGACCAUCCAGCUGUUCCACGAGAAGCUCAAGCCGGACAUGACCCUGGAGGCCCUGAUGGAGCUUAUGACGGAGGCCCACGAGUACUCCGAGCUUCCAGUCCGCCACAAUGAGGACCUUCUCAACGGUGACCUGGCCAAGUCGUGCCCACUGGAGGUCAGUCAGUACACGCUGGACUCCCCGCACACCAAAACCUUCCUCCUCCUCCAGGCGCACCUCUCCCGCCUCCCCCUGCCCUGCGUCGACUACCUCACGGAUACCAAGUCUGUCCUGGACCAGUCGAUUAGGAUACUGCAGGCCAUGCUGGAUAUGUGUGGGUGUGCUGGGUGGCUGGCAGCGGCCCUCCAAGUCCAGAUGGUGAUGCAGAUGGUGACGCAGGCCAGAUGGCACACCGACGCACCCUUCCUCACCCUGCCGCACAUCACCCACGACUCCCUGGACGCCUUCAGGAACCACCCCACACUCCCCCACCUGAUGGAAGCCGUGAGGGGUGACAGGUAUGAGGUGCUUGCGGCUCCUCUGCGGAACUACCUGGAGGAGGGGCAGGUGGAGGCCGUCCAUCGCACCCUGCAGCAUCUCCCCCGCGUGGCUGUGAGCGUGUAUGUGCGCGGGAGGAGGGGACACGCACAUGUGAACGUUAAUGUAGCCUUGGGAGGAGGCCGAGGAGACAGUGGCGCCAGUACAGAGGUGGAGGUGGAGGCAGGGCAAGAAUACACCCUGGCGGUCACCCUAACACGUCUCAACAGGGCGCAUGACCUCAGGGUUCACACGCAGAAGUUCCCCAAGCCCAAGGACGAGGGUUGGUUCCUGGUGCUGGGCGAGGCGGAGAGUGGUGACCUGGUUGCCCUGCGGCGUGUGUCGGGUGUGAGGGGCCGCUCAACGUACCAGCUCUCCUUCAAGACACCGACUAACACAGGUCGUUCUGUGCUGACCCUCUACCUGAUGUCCGAUGGCUACCUGUUCCUGGACCAGCAGUAUGACAUCCCCCUCAGGGUCGUGCCAGCAACUCGGAACCACGAGGAAGAGGAGUGGAUGAAGGAGGAGGAGGAGGAGGAGGAGAAGAAGAAGGGAGAAGAGGAGGAGAGUAAUAAGAAGUGGCUCCCUCCCCCACCAGACAUGCUUCCAGUAAUGAAAUCCUGCUUUUCGGACAACAAGAAGAAGGAAGAAGAGAAGGAAGAGGAGGAGGAGGAGGAGGAGGCGGAGGUGGCAAGGUCCCCGUCUCAAGCCUGGGGAAGCCGAGAGCAGAGGCAGAGAGGAGGAGGAGGAGGAAGGAGGAGGAAUAGAUAAGGGGAUGAUGAUAGAGAUAGAUGGAGAGAGAAAGAGAUUGUUUGUUGUUUUCUCUCUCUCUCUCUCUCUCUCUCUCUCUCUCUCGUUGUGGCUUUUUUUGUUUGUUUUUUCCUCAUUUAAUUUCUUCGCUACGAGAGAAAAAUUCCAGAAAAGUCCUUAGCAUUUUUUUUUUUUACUUUUUUUUACUUUUUUUUUUUCAUGUAUAAGUUUCUUCGUCAUCGUAAAUUCUUGUCAUUUAUUUGAAUUUUCUUUAUUAUUAUUAUUAUUGUCAAGCUGCUUAUUCAUUCCCUUGUCUGAUCUUUUCUUCCUUCAAGUGCAACGGCUGAAACUUCUUUAUCAUCAAAUCUUUAGUUAUUUAUGUAUUUCCUUUUCUCUCGGUAACCAGAAAUGUCCAUAUCUAAUCUCUUUGUUUUUCGUAUAUUAAUUCCUUUAAGUAUAAUGGCAGAAACUUCCUUAUUAGCUUCAAAUCUCCUGUUAUUGCUUCUUGGUGAUGAAUUUAGAUUAUGUUAUGGUGAUGGUGUAUAGUGGUGAGGGUGUGUGAAUGGACUGGUGUUGGUGUGUGAGGAAGACUAACUGAGAUGGUGGUGUGUGUGUGUGUGUGUGUGGUGAAUUUAGAUGGUGUUUAGUGGUGAGGGUGUGUGAGGAAGACUAACUGAGGAGGUGGUGUGUGUGGUGAAUUUAGAUGGUGUUUAGUGGUGAGGGUGUGUGAGGAAGACUAACUGAGGAGGAGGUGGUGUGUGUGGUGAAUUUAGAUGGUGUUUAGUGGUGAGGGUGUGUGAGGAAGACUAACUGAGGAGGAGCUGGUGUGUGUGGUGAAUUUAGAUGGUGUUUAGUGGUGAGGGUGUGUGAGGAAGACUAACUGAGGAGGAGGUGGUGUGUGUGUGUGGUGAAUUUAGAUGGCGUUGUGGUCUUUCCUUCUUCACAUCACAAGUAUCUUUAUCAUCAAAUUGUUACUCAUGAUUUUCUGUCCCUUCCCGUUCUUCUUCUUUCUUGUUUUCCUUAUUUAAAUUAUCUCGCAGCGACAGGAUAUUGUUUUCGGUUAAGUUGAAGUUGUCAUGUCUAUUUUGAUUCUACUGCUGAGAGAUAAACGACAAGCCAAUAUUUAUAACAAGGAUAUAUUACUGAGGGUUGAAUUAUAAGACAUUUCGCUGCCCAAGAACACAUAUUUGACAAGGCCUUCGUAGGAUUUGUGGGCAUUUCCAGGAGUAGUUUUAUGACCCUGGUGGUAGUGUGACCCUUCCUC